rnacentral:rRNA from 1 species
AGCGAACGCUGGCGGCAGGCCUAACACAUGCAAGUCGAACGAAGUCUUCGGACUUAGUGGCGGACGGGUGAGUAACACGUGGGAACGUGCCUUUAGGUUCGGAAUAACUCAGGGAAACUCGUGCUAAUACCGAAUGUGCCCUUCGGGGGAAAGAUUUAUCGCCUUUAGAGCGGCCCGCGUCUGAUUAGCUAGUUGGUGAGGUAAAGGCUCACCAAGGCGACGAUCAGUAGCUGGUCUGAGAGGAUGAUCAGCCACAUUGGGACUGAGACACGGCCCAAACUCCUACGGGAGGCAGCAGUGGGGAAUCUUGCGCGAUGGGCGAAAGCCUGACGCAGCCAUGCCGCGUGAAUGAUGAAGGUCUUAGGAUUGUAAAAUUCUUUCACCGGGGACGAUAAUGACGGUACCCGGAGAAGAAGCCCCGGCUAACUUCGUGCCAGCCGCCGCGGUAAUAC